GAUGAACGCUGGCGGCGUGCCUAAUACAUGCAAGUCGAGCGAACGUACGAGAAGCUUGCUUUUCUGAUGUUAGCGGCGGACGGGUGAGUAACACGUGGAUAACCUACCUAUAAGACUGGGAUAACUUCGGGAAACCGGAGCUAAUACCGGAUAAUAUUUUGAACCGCAUGGUUCAAAAGUGAAAGACGGUCUUGCUGUCACUUAUAGGUGGAUCCGCGCUGCAUUAGCUAGUUGGUAAGGUAACGGCUUACCAAGGCAACGAUGCAUAGCCGACCUGAGAGGGUGAUCGGCCACACUGGAACUGAGACACGGUCCAGACUCCUACGGGAGGCAGCAGUAGGGAAUCUUCCGCAAUGGGCGAAAGCCUGACGGAGCAACGCCGCGUGAGUGAUGAAGGUCUUCGGAUCGUAAAACUCUGUUAUUAGGGAAGAACAUAUGUGUAAGUAACUGUGCACAUCUUGACGGUACCUAAUCAGAAAGCCACGGCUAACUACGUG
rnacentral:rRNA from 1 species